GAUGAACGCUGGCGGCGUGCCUAAUACAUGCAAGUCGAGCGAACAGAUGAGGAGCUUGCUCCUUUGACGUUAGCGGCGGACGGGUGAGUAACACGUGGAUAACCUACCUAUAAGGCUGGGAUAACUUCGUGAAACCGGAGCUAAUACCGGAUAACAUAUUGAACCGCAUGGUUCAAUAGUGAAAGGCGGCUUUGCUUUCAAUUAUCGGUGGAUCCGCGCCGUAUUAGCUAGUUGGUAAGGUAACGGCUUACCAAGGCAACGAUCCGUAGCAGACCUGAGAGGGUGAUCGGCCACACUGGAACUGAGACACGGCCCAGACUCCUACGGGAGGCAGCAGUAGGGAAUCUUCCGCAAUGGGCGAAAGCCUGACGGAGCAACGCCGCGUGAGUGAUGAAGGUCUUCGGAUCGUAAAACUCUGUUAUCAGGGAAGAACAAAUGUGUAAGUAACUGUGCACAUCUUGACGGUACCUGAACAGAAAGCCCCGGCUAACUACGUG
rnacentral:rRNA from 1 species